ACCUGUGGCAUAUGGAAGUUCCCAGGCUAGGGGUUGAAUCAGAGAUAGAGCUGUUGGCCUACGCCACAGCCACUGCAAUGUCAAAUCUGAGCCGAGUCUGCAACCUACACCGCAGCUCACAGCAAAGCAGAUCCUUAACCCACUGAGCGAAGCCAGGGAUGGAACCCGCAUCCUCAUGGAUACUCGUUGGGUUCAUCACCGCCGUGCCACAAUGGGAACUCCAGAAUACUGCAUCUCUGAGUUUCCCAACAAACUGGUGCAGGAGGCAUGGCUACUUCCACUGUGAGCACAUGAAGCCCAGAAAGGCCGAGAGACACACGAAGAUGGCACAGCUGCAGGGUUGGAUCUAAACUCCAUCCUUGUAAAUGUAAAGCCUGCGCUCCUUCCUCUAAACCACCCUUGUUGGCUGCAUGGCCUGUCUCUCUCAGGCGUCUCAAUUCCUUCCUCCCUUUGCCUCUGACUUCCUCUAGAAUGUCCUGGAGGACCUAAUGGACCUAAGAAAUAGUGAGUUAAUUCCUGGUGUUUUUUUAGGGACGUGAUUAAAUAUCCACAGCAAGGUAAACCAACCUGAACUCAUUCAGAGGAUACUUCGGAGCAUCUUUGGGAUGUUUUAUUUGGGGCUUCUUACACACAGAGCUUGGCUUUCAUGGGUCUAAAAUGAGGUUUUUGAUUCCGGCCCUAGAGGCUCGAGGUUAAAAAUUGUUAGAAAGAGCAUUUUUGGUGCCACGUUCUUUGCGGCUCUUUUUAAGGCGCUAAAUGAGGGGACUAAACAAUCGGUUUAUUGAAAAGUGCAAGGGAUUAUCCUCUGGCUCAUUAGGAUUCCCGGGUUAUCUGAGCACAGUGUGGAGGGAUAAGACAGGCCAGCCUGCAAAGCUGGAACAGGCAGCCCCUUCGGGGGAAGCGCUUUCCCACCCAACUCUCUGCUGGAUUUGCCACCGCGCUCCUGCGAGCAGAGCAGGCCGAGGGAGCGUUUCCUCGCUCUUUUCAACAUUGGAGAACAAGAUGCUACCUGUGCUGAAAUCAACACAGAGGCAUAGCUGAGGGGGGGAGAGAAAAAUAAUAAUAAAUGCAGCAAAGGGGCUGCAAAAAAAAAAAAAAGUGAUUUUUGAAGCUAAUGACAGUGUUUCUGCCUUUAUUGCUUCGGGCAGGAAGAGGAAGUUAGAAAUCUAAGUGGCUUGAGAAAAUACCGCAUUUAACCAACUCAUUUGCAGGCCUCCAGUUGUAUGAUCCUAAUUUAUUUCAUUGUUGUGGGGGUUUUUCUUUGGGGGACUUUUUUGAUCUAUUUUUAAUGGAAGACUAAUGCGCAUCCCUUCCCCUCCCCCACCCCGACUUUUUUUUCGCAGGCAUGUACCGAGCAGGAAGACUUUUUUUUAAAAAUAACUUUUCUUUUUAAACCUACUCCUUUAUGGAGGCAGAGAAAGAAGCUGGGGCGGGGGGGAGAGACGUUUCCGUUUCAUAAUCUAUGUGUAAUGUUUGUGUGGGCAAUUCCUAGCGCUUUAUUUCACCUGUAACUUCCAGGAAGGAAAGCCAUCCCACCAACGUGGAGAAGGUCGGCAGGUAGCAGGCACCAUCUCCACAGCCCCAUGUGCUUCUCCCAUCAGAAUGUGGCUUCGUGCUAGAUUUCCUCCAGGGUCCACUGCCAAGCUCCAUGGACCACUUGAUUCAAAUGGCCACCUGACUCUCAUCAACAAUAGGGAUGGGGGCGGGGGAGAAAGUAAAACUCUGUCAUUUGACGCAUCUCUUGAGCAAUCGCCUCCUUUAGGGAGGCAGUUAGAUGGCGGCCGUGCUUCCAGAGCCACCUUUGAGUUUCUUUUGCUGCUCUCUGAGUUUGUCCAACAUGCCAGCGAGGAAGGAGGGACAGGUAUUAACUAGCCUGAAGGGGCAGAAGAGGAAAUGAAGCGAUGCAGAGCUGAAAUGACAUGUUCAAGGGUACACGGGGAGUUAAGCUUAAAGAGCCAGGACUGGCCCCCGAUCGCGGGUCUAGGAGACACAGCUCCCCCGCCACCGUCCCCCUGCCCCGCCAAAUGUUCAGUCCGUAUUCAUGAAAGCCAGCUUCCAUCCAGUGAGCACACAGCACCCAUGUGGGGCCUACAGGGAAAGGACGCUCUAGGUUUUGGAAAGUAAUGAAUGAACGAAGUCAAAGGUGUGUGAGGAUGAUGGGCGGAGAGGCAAACUAGGCGGUCAUAAAAAGAUGUCCAAAAAAAAGUCCUUAGAAAUAAAACCAGUAGUCAGAUCAAACAGAGAACAGGACCAAUCGAUCAAGAAGGGGAGAAACUAUUAAGAUGAAAAGGCCACAGGAUAUUUGGAGAGGAGUGGUAGGGUAUUUAAGGAGUAACAGUAUUACCGAAAAGAUUUUCUUAAAAAUAAGAGUAAACCAAACAAAAAAGAAAAAUGCGAACUUUUGGUUAGGAUAUAGAUUUUCAAACUUGAGUUUGAUCUUUUUGGCAAAGAAACUUCAGGUGCAUUAAAAUGAAGCAAAGAGUGAGUGUCACAAGGCUAAGGACAGAGAGACUCCGUCUGAAGGCUAAGAUCACAUAUUUAAGCAAAUCAGGCAAAUGAUGGAUUUGAAUCUUCAGUUCAAACGGCUUCUCUGUUCCAAAUGAUGUCCACCUCUGGAUGCCACCCUUGAAAAAUGAGGAUUCAGGAGUGCCUCUCGUGGCUGAGCAGUUAACGAACCCGACUAGUAUCCAUGAGGAUGCAGGUUCGAUCCCUGGCCUUGCUCAGUGGGUUGAGGAUCCUGCGGUGCUGUGAGCUGUGGUGUAGGUCGUGGAUGUGGCUGGGAUACCUUGUUGCUGUGGCUGUGGAGUAGGCCAGCAGCUGCAGCUCCCGUUAGACUUGUAGCCUGGGAGCCUAUAUAUGUCGCAGGCACGGCUCCCCCCAAAAAAGACAAAACCAAAACCAAAAGACAAAACCAAAAAUUAAGAUUCACCUGGGGACAGCUUGAUACUCCACAGGAAAGGAAUAUGGAACCGGUGUCAUUAUUACUGUGUUAUUAUUUGCUCUGGACAUUGAGGCAACGCUCUGGCAAUUAGAAUCCCCCUUCUGUGCUUGAAUCCAGCUGGAAGGGCAUCCAUAACCCAUGAUGGGAAAAGCUCCCGGGGAGGUCAGGUGUCUUUUCUCUUUCCCCUACAGGCCACGGCCACCUAUUGGCAGGGGUCACAAGCAGCCGUGUGAUCCAACGACGUCUCCAGUGGGUCUGCCCUGAACAUGGUGACAUGCAAACCCCAUGUGCUGAGAAUUCUCCACGGCAAUUAGACUAGUGACUCAUCACGAGUUCCAAAAUUAGGAAAAAGGCACCCAAUUCAGAGCAUGUACAGGAAUUUUUCUUCUUUUUUUUAACCAGACUCACAGUUACAACUUGAUUGGCAAGAGAAAGCCAAUAUGGAAAGAUAACAUAUCACUGUUGGUAGGUUUUCUAGCAGCAGAUGCUCUGUUUUAAUAUUAUUGUGCUCUUUGCUCUCAUCCCCUUAUUUAUAAACCAAUUCCACGGACUGAUGCAACCAACGUUUCUUGAGCCCCCCAAAGAUCGUUCCUGUCUUCGAGGAAUUCACCGUCCGGCAGAUGAAACGGACAAGAAAGAAUGUCCAUGCAAUGAGAGAGAGGCUAAAAAGGGAGCAGCUGACGGAGUGCAAGAGAAUCGCAAUCAUGAAGGUCAAUUCUCUCCGGAAAUGGAGAGGAGAAAAGACGACCCAGAGGAAGGGGUGUUGUGUGCUGAGUCUGGGAACCCAAAAAUCAAUCCAAACUCAACAAGAGUCACACCACAGGCUCAGAGGUCCACAGCCCAGAGAAACCAGGGAAGAACUCUCAGAAACCAACAGAUUCCUAGGAGUUCUUUUCCUCCUCUUCUUCUUCUUCGAAUCUCCUUCUCUAGACGUGCUUCUUAAAUAUUUGGCCAAGGACCUGGAAGCAAAUUCUUCAACCCCAGAAAACUGGGCUUUGAGAUGGCUGUGGACAUGCACAAUGCAGGGCUUGGCUGAUAUGACUCUGGGUUCCCCAUGGCUGAUGUCAUCUUAGGGACCGCUGGCCACGCUUUCCAGAAGCGACACUCACUCUUCUGGGUCAGCAAGGGGCUGUGGAGCCCACCGAGAAGUGACUUGCAGUGGGAAAGUGUCCUUUCAUAUGGUGGAGUCUGGAAGGAGCUGUAGGAAGCUGGGGUCUCAGCAGGGCUGCCUGGACAUCACUGGUUCUGCAUUUUCACUCCUUCUGGAUUUUUCCAGCUUGUCCAAGGCAAUGGGAGGACAAGGCCAAGUGAAGCCACUUCUCUCCAUUCUGUUUCCUUUUCCAGGGUUGGUCCACUCGGGACGUGUCUGAAACAGAGAGAGCUACAGUGCUCUGAUGACGCCCCAUAAGCAUACAGCUGAGAAGUUCUGGUAAUUCAGUGGUACUUGAAAUUCUUGGGCUCUUUCUUAUUUCUCCCUCUUGGAGUUGUCCAGGCUUGGACAGGUUAUUUGACCUGUAGGAGUGGACUUAUGGUCCUGGGAGUAGAAUGAUGGGAGAGACCUAUGUUGUAAGAAUACAAUCUGUCACAGGGAACUACAUCCAGUCUCUCGGGAUAGAAGAUGAUGGAAGACAGUAUGAGAAAAAGAAGAAACACACACGCACACGCGCGCGCACACACACACAUAUAUACAUAUAAAACUGGGACACUGCUGUACAGCAGAAAUUGACAUAAUAGUGUAAAUCAACCAUAUUUAGAAAGAGUACAAUCUUUGAUGUCAGAUCAGAAUUUGGAGCUAGGCUUGAUUUGUAUUAGCUGCGUGACUUGUUGUCCUAUACCUUGGUCUCCUCAUCUAGAAAAUGGGUGCAAUCAAGCCUAGGCCACAGGAUUGUUUUGAAGAUAAAAAGGGAGAGGUGGUCUCUGAAAUGCAACAUCAAGAGCAUGUCACCUAGAAAGCCCUCCAUAAGUAGGAACUGAUUUAAGUGCCUACGAUGUGCCACGGUCCGUCUGGUACGAGUCCAAGAUUGCACUCUAAGACCCAUGCAAAGAAACAUCUUCCUUCUUCGGGUGAAAACAGCAGGAAAAGUACAUAAAAAAGGGACAGGCAAAGAAAGUCUUGUGCUAAAGGGCUGGUGUGGACCUGAGACCUCCGCCAUGGAAUUGGGCAUUAAUUCCUUCUAGGAAACCAGAGGGAAGAAGAGAUUCUUCACUUCUGGCUCAUACGUGCCUUGAACAGUGAUGUCUCAAAAUACCUCAAACACAGGGAGGGAGUGGGAUGCACUGGGAGUUUGGGGUUAGGAGAAGCAAAUGUUGGAUAAGCAAUGAGGUUCGGCUGUACAGCCCAGGGAACUAUAUCCAAUCACUUGUGAUAGAACAUGAUGGAUGAUAAUAUGAGAAAAAGAAUGUAUAUACACGCAUGACUGAGUCACUUUGCUGGACAGCCAACACUGACGGAGCAUUUUUAAAUCGACUACAAUUUAAUAAAAAAAAUUUUUAAUAUCUCAAAUGCAAGAAAAUUUCCCUCCAUGUCUUGUGAUGACCAUGAGGCUCACUUGAACUUGACUCAAAGUUCAAGGUCCUUUUAAGUGUUCAUUCAAUUCAGUUUUAUCUUGGCAUCUCACAUGUGCAAAAAAAAAAAAAAAAAAAAGUGUCACAAACCUCUAAAACGGGACUUUUUUUCAGAAAUAAUGUAUUUUGGCAGCUUUUUAUUCAUUCUUUCCUCUUCCCCACCUUCCCAAAGUCACGGAGGUCAAUUUAUCUUAUCUUUUGUGGGGGGUGUGGCGGGGGCGGAAGGAUGUAGUUGGGGCAGGUAGACUUAUUUAACUUUUCCAACUGCUGUCAAACGUUUUUCACCCCUUUUCCCCAGACGGUUCUCAGGGGUGUCAAAGGAACAUUAGACUCAGGGUAGAUUGAUCUAGAGUCUCUGACGUUGAUUGCAAUGAUGAUGUUUAACCUUGUACCUGGAAGAGGCAAGAUUGGCCAGGCGUGUAGGAAGCAGCUUGAGUUACUUAAGAAGCCUGAUUUGUUUAUGAGGAACUGACUACUACAUGGUAGUUUACGCCAAAGACACACAAAGAACCCACUUUGCUUCUCCUUGCAAAUUACACCCAGCCUACUAGAAAAGAAGGGACUCCCUCUGCUAAAAACACAACCAUACAUAAUUUGGACUUAGGCAGAAUGAAGAAUAAUUACUUCUCAGCCUCUAGGUGGGGAAAGGCAGAGAGAGGGAGAGAAAGGCUUAGUCAAUAAUUCCUGCCCCUGUGCUUUCCACA
rnacentral:lncRNA from 1 species